rnacentral:lncRNA from 1 species
UUUUUUUUCUUUUUUCUUCCGUUCUUUUCUUUUUAUUUCUUCUUCCUCUGACAUCUUAGGCAAAAUAGGGGAGCAUGUGCCCUCCCCUCCCAUCUUAGAAUAGGAAAGAGGAGCGAAAGAAGUGUGGGUGGUGGCUACCGAUCAGAGAGGAUGAUGGUCGACCACCAUCAGCAGCAGUCGAUGGUAACAGCGGCUGACGAUGAAGAGAUAAAACAAAGAAAACAAAACAAAAAUAGGGCUUUGCCUUUUAACCUAUACAUCUCUUAAUAUCUGGCGAUUGGGC